GUUGGGAGACAGAAUAAAGAUAAGGCAUUUCGUGUGCGGCGAACGUGAUUGCCACAGUGGGACUAAAACUCGAAUUUUAUGACCACUAAAUCCGCUGGGAGAUAAGCCCAGGGGGUUCCUACGACAUGAUUGGCAAAUUUGACAGAUUGCCUUUGUUUAGGCAGGGGAUAUGUAUGUAUGUAUAUGUAUAUAUGAAUCAUGCACUAAAAUAUAAACAUAUCGUCAAAAACUGUCGCCUACUUUAAAGGCCUGCUUUUAAAGGGAAGUUUUUAUAAGUUUGAAAUGGAUUCUGAGGCACAAUCGCAAAAUACCCGAUUGGCUCCACUGUGCAGCCGACAUUUGGGGCUUGAUGACUAGACAACAUGUACUCGCACUCGCACACUCACGGCACUUACAAAACCACGAGCAGCGUUGUUGUUGCCAGAUAUUCAUAAAUGAGUUGCGUGUGAAUUAAAUAUGUAUAUUUAUAAGCAUUUAUUUGCCAAGCCGAUACCAAUAUGGUUGUGGUUAACUUUAAGUGCACCAUAUGAUUCUCAAGUUCGAAUUUCAACUCUGGAGAGUUACCGUUACAGUGUCGGGCUACAAACAAUAAAACAUGAAACCGAAAAAAAACAAUAAGAAAAUAUAUGUGCAUAUAAGUUAACAAC